rnacentral:lncRNA from 1 species
AAUAAAGCUAUGUGGGACAGCAUGAGGCCUGGCAUCAAGAAUCAUGAAGUGGCAUCAAGUUAAAAGUUAUACAGGAUGAGUGCUUGCAGGGAUGCAGGGCAGAGGUGCAGGCUCCGUUGGUCCAGCGGUGCACAGUGUAUGCUUGGAAGACGGAGACAAGCGCUAUAAACUUUUCUGUAUGAAAAGGAUACAAGAUGUUGUGGCGGUUUUUAAUGACCCUUCUAUUCAAACGAAACCAUUCUCUUCUAAGCAAUGGAUGAACAGUAUAGUAAAGGAGUUGUGAAAAAAAUGCA